AUCUAAAUAGUUUAAGUAUAAAAUAUUGGUUUGUGGUGCCAGUGAUAUAGAUGUAUUUUAGAUU
rnacentral:tRNA from 1 species